CAUUCAGGACAAAUCCCAGCAGGACUGGAGAAAGGGACAGUGGGUGACAACUUCCUGAGCUUAGACUGGAGGGCUCUCCAUCAUCUCCCUAUUCUGGUUCCUAGGAUUGAACAUGGAGCCCAGCCUUGUAUGCUGUUUGUACCAAAUCUUUACAUCUCAGGUGAAGCCCGGUGUCCAUUUGGUCCUCCUUCCAGGGCCACACUGUCAGAUGCCCAUCCUCCAGUGCCCAUCCAUCCUUUUGUCUUUCCCAUCAUAUAACAGAAACAAUCCUCCUUGCCCCAGUGCUUUCCCUCUCUGGUCCUUGCUGAGACGUGAGAGUACGGAUCCAUUCUCUGAGCCUUGCUAGGUUGAGCCAGGGUUCAUGAGAGGUGCCAAGUCACAAGGCUGUGCCAACAUGCUCUGGAAAGCCCAUUCUCCAACCAUGGCUGAGAGGACAGGAGGCGGGCUGUAGGGCAGCUAGCUGACUUUGGAGGUAGACUUGAGGCCAGAGCUUUGAGUGAUAUGGGUGUGUCCAUGCCUCUGAAGGGUCCUCUCUCUGCUUCUCCCCGUGGUUGCCCGUCCUGCUCCUCUGGAGGAGCUGUGUGACAGUUGUGAUCAUUCAUGAUCUGUGGGCAUUUAUACAUUCCUGAUUACACUGGCUAAUGCCCCUCCGGUUCUCCGAGGGUUUGGUUCAACAAGAGUGGGCUGUUCCACCGUGGCAUCAGCCUUUGAAAAACAGGUUAAUUCCCAGGUACUGAAAAAAUAUUUUUUAAAAAAUAAAAACCUCAAUUUUUCUAGUG
rnacentral:lncRNA from 1 species